AAUAAAGUGCCUGAUUAAAGGAUUAUUCUGAUAGAAUAAAUUAAGUAAAUUAUUAUAUUACCUUUAUUA
rnacentral:tRNA from 1 species